CUUUGUGUAGUAAUUCUGUAAAAUUAGCUCAAAAUGUUUUCAGUGGACGCAUGCUUCUUUCUCGGUGUGGAGAGAAUGGAAAUUCGGAAGAGCUGAAGGAAGAACACAGACAUUUACAUAUAAUUUGACAUGACAAAUGCCAGUUGGAUCAACUCAGCACAUGUAGAUUCAUGGGGGCAUAGUAAUGAGAGGUACUCUGGAAAACUGGCUGAGUCAAGUUAUAGAAUAUUUAUUUUCUUUGUUUGUGUUUUUUUCUUUUACAUUUGUGCUCCUCUUACACAUUAGUGAUGUGCCACGUGCGAAAGAGCCGGCUCUGAGAGCCGAUGCUUUGGAGUGAAUCAGAAGAGCUGGCUCCCAUCAAGUGAGAGCCAGCUCCCAGUUUUUUUUUUUUUCUCCUUUUGCUGCGUGUUUCGCUCUCAGGGCUCGGCCUCAGCUCUGCCCUCAGUAAUGCUUUGUUUGGAUUGGCCUGCAUGGACAGGCGGUCAAAAACAUGUGUGGAUAUAGGAUCUUACCAUUUAGUUUGGUUCUCGUUCUGUUUUGUGAAUUUGUUUGCUGUUUUUUGUUCACUUGUGCAAUACAGGAUUUUUGUUGAAAUA